rnacentral:lncRNA from 1 species
UUCUUUCUUCCUUCUUUUCUUUUCUUUCUUCCUUUUUCUUUCUUUCUUUUCUUUCCCUCCCUUCCUUCCUCUCUCUCUUUCUUUUCUUUUUUCUUUCUUUCUUUUCUUUCUUUCUUCCUUUCUUUCUCUCUUUCUUUCUGUCUGUCUGUCUUUCUCUCCCUCUCCCCCCUCCCCUUUCUUUCUUUCAGGAAGAAAUCUUUGCAGGCAGUGUCACACAGAGAGAAGGCUUGGUGUACAGCAGCUGUGUGGGUGCCCUCGUGUGAACCCCGCCCCAGGGGUUCCUGCUGCCCGCACAGCUGGAGAGCUGCACCACCCUCAGAGGUCCUGGGUCCAAGCCCGCAGGCUGCCGCCGGCUGGAGAAGCAAGGGCAGUGCCCUGAAAGCUGCAGUCAGGGGUCUUCUCAGGACACGGCUGGAAGGAAGGCGAGAACCCCUGGAUCUGAAUAGUCCGGAGCAGGGUGAGUCCUGCUUUUGCCUUGGAGGAGCUCCGUGACUUUGACAUGCCUACUUGACUUCUCUGGGCCUUGUGUUUGUUUGUUUGUUUGUUUAUUUGUCUUUUCUAGGGCCGCACCCGCGGCAUAUGGAGGUUCCCAGGCUAGAGGUCUAAUUGGAGCUAUAGCCACCGGCCUACACCACAGCCACAGCAACUCGGGGUCCGAGCCGCAUCUACAACCUACACCACUGCUCACAGCAACACCGGAUCCUUAACCCACUGAGUGAGGCCAGGGAUCAAACCCACAACCUCAUGGUGCCUAGUUGGAUUCGUUAACCCCUGAGCCACAAGGGGAACUCCCCCCUUGUGUUUAUUAUUUCCAAAAUUAAUAACUGCCAGAUAGGGCUGUUGGGAGAUUAAAAUGAGGUAAAUUGCGUGAAAUAAAUCAGAGCUAUAUCAGUUGCA